CCAACAGUCAUUUUAACAACUUUGCAAAGUGCAUUACAAAGGUUUACCACCCUGGAAGUGACGCUUUUGCUGGAAAAGCUGUACUUUCAAACCCUUAUCCCUUAAAGAGGGUUGUCAGAGGCUGUCCCGUGUGUAUCUCGCUGUUAGACUAGCUCACGAACUGCAGCCCCAAGUUUGAGGUUGCAUCCGAGCGCAACACAUUCCUCUUGUUUCUGUCUUGCCAAAAUAAAUCGCUACAUCAUUGUCGGGAUACUUUCAUUUCAAAGCAUAUUGCCGGCCUGUGGUGCGUGAAAGGAGCGUAUGCGAAACGGUUUGGCCGCUGGGCUUGCGGAAAAAAAGGCAUCAGCUUACAUCCCAAUUUGGUGGUGGUGAGGUUUGGAAGCGACAGGGUACAGAACAAUCAUGCGUUUAAUUUCCGUGACCAUCUUUCGUUUUUUUCAUCUUUGUCCGAAUUAAUUCGGCUCGUUUGGUUCAACUUUUCGUGGUGCUAAGAGCAAAAAAAAACUACUGCUAGCCUAAGGAUGAUAAAAGUUCGGUGACCAACCGAUCGAUCGUUCCAAAAAUCCAGCCCCAUAUUAGGCGAGGAAUGACUUAAUCACAACCAGUGGAAGUAGUAGGGAUUCCCUCGGGACCUACCCAUACGAUUCAUUAUCGAAAGAGGACAUGUUUUUAUCUUUCCCGAUAAGUUACGCACCUUAAAGGGCGGUACUACAUCAUGUGGAAGCUGGAUGGAGAGAUAAAUUAUUGAUCGUGUACUUGCACACAUAGCUUGUGAUGUUAAAGGGUGGUUGUACAACGGGUUUUGAUUAAAAAUAUUUAAAAAAAAAAAUGAGUUUGAAUUUCUCUACACUCUCUCUAAGUUAUCAAAAGUUCAUGAUAAUUACCAAAGACAUUUUAAAAUUUACAGGGUGUUCGGGAUAAAUUUGACAGUUUCGUAAAAAUAUUUUUUUAUUUACCUUCAUUUUUAACGAAUAAACUAAAAUAUUACAGACAGAUCAAAUAAAAUUGUUGUCAAUAAAUAUUAUUCAAAAUAACCACUAUUAACAUCAAUUACAGUUACUGUUAUGUCCUUGGGUGCGUUUCGGAUAAACGGCUUGAACACUGAUACGACACAACAUGAAAUACACUUUAAAACUUAAACGAACAUUUAUUACACG